UUGAAACACCGAUUCCCGUAUGAUCACCGAAGUUAAGCAACGUCGAAAUUGGUCUGUACCUAAAUAGGUGACCACUUGGGAAUACCAGGUUCUGUAAG